rnacentral:snRNA from 1 species
GCUAAGAAGGCAAGAGCA